rnacentral:tRNA from 1 species
GAGGGUAUAGCUCAAUUGGCAGGGUGAGUGCAUGCUUAGCAUGCACAAGGUCCGGGGUUCGAUCCCCGGUACCUCCG